AAAGGUUUAGUUGAGUUGAGUUGAUUUGAUUUUGACUUGUAUUUUUAUAGCUCUUUUUUCAUUGUUCUGGUUUAUUUAGCCUCAGGUAGUUGAACUGGGAGAAAUUUUGUUGUUCAUUUCAUGCAUUUUUUUUAUUACGCCUACUGUUCUAUUUGUAUACUGAAUCUCGUAUAAGGACCUUUGUUUUGUUUCCUCAUGCAGUUAACUUGUUUCAAUGACGACA
rnacentral:misc_RNA from 1 species